AAAACUGAUAUAUCGUAAUAUUUUAAAUUAUAACUCAUAAAAAAGAAAAAAAUGCAAAACAAAAAUUGCAAAAAAACUAACAAAUUCAUAUCAAAAGAUACAAGUCUUUUC
rnacentral:rRNA from 15 species